GAAACAAAACGCAACCAUUUUUUUUUCUAUGUUUAUGGGUGCGUGCAUUUGUGUUGUCCGGUGUUUGAAGACGCUUUGGAAUUCGCUUUCAAUUUCUUCGUAGGAAAAAUGUCGGGUGAUACCGAUAAAGCGAAAAUCAGUGAUAAUCAGGAUGAAGACAAGAAGUCCAUAGCAGGAGACGGUCACACCACAGAAGACGAGUCCUCACAGGACUCGAAGGGUGAGUCCCUGGCUCCCGAGUCAAAGGCCCAAGAGCCUGAGGCUCCAGAGUCGGAGGCCCAAGGUAAACCCGAUGUAGGUCAACCUAAAACGGACGAGGCACCACCAGAUUCGGAAGGCGACGCAAAAGCCACGGCUAACGGCAAGAGCGACGACGCGGCCGCAGAUAACAAAGAUGAAAAGGACGAUAAAGCUGACGGCGAUGUGAAAAAGGAGGAAAAUGGCGAGACGCACGACGAUGAUGACAAAGAAGAUGAUGACGUAAAGGAGAACGACAAGGCUGCCAAGAAACCAGCUCCUAAGAAAAAGCCCAAAAAAGAAGACACAGAGGAGGAGGAAGAAGAUGAAGAAGAGGAGGAGGAGGAUGAGGAAGGAGAGGAAGGCGAUGAGGACGAGGAAGCGGAAAAUAAAAAGCCUAAAGAGAAAGUAAAGAAGCCAGCGAAGAAGGCUAAAGAUGACGAUGAAGAAGGUGACGAGGAGGAAGGAGAUGAAGAAGGUGAGGAAGAGGAGGAAGAAGAAGAGGAGGAAGAGGAGGCGCCCAAACCUAAACCCAAGAAAGAGCCCACGGAGCCUCCGGUGCCGCUGCCGGCGGGCAAGGGUAUCCCUCUUGGACACAUCGGCAACGUAGAGAUUUCACUAUCACGGUUCAAGAUUGCAGACCAGAAGCUGUUACAUCAGUAUUUGUAUGGCCAACUAUGCCUGGACCGCAACGUGAAACGGAACGUGAAGAAGUUCAAGGGGUACGAGUGGGCGAUCGGCUCCUCGGACUACAAGGCCAAGCUGGAGGAGACCAGCAAGAUGGAGAUGAAGCAGCUGCGGACCAUGUGCGAGAUGCUCGACCUCGACAAGAAGGGCAGCGCGGCGGAGCUGUCGGCGCGGCUGGUGGGGUUCCUGCAGCAGCCGACGGCCAACUCUCCGCAUGCGCGGGGCUCCGCUCAGCGCGCGCCCGCCGCGCCCGCGCCCGCCGGCGGCCGUCCGCGGCGCUCCGCCGCCGUCAAGGUGCACAACAGAGGUUAUUCAGACGAGGAGUAUGAAAGUGAGCCGGAACCAAAAGUCAAGGGCCCCAAAUUGCCGAAGGAUGGUUCAGAAGACUCUGAUGGGUCAUUCAACCCGAGCGGGUCGGAGGAGGCGGACUCUGACUUCGACCCGGAGGGCGGCGAGAGCGCGGGCGCCGCCACGCGCAAGCGCAAGGUCGGCCGCCGCCGCUCGGCGCCCAAGGUCGGCCGCAGGGGCCGCAAGCCCAAGGGCAGGAAGGGGAAGAGUGCAAGCAAAGGUCGCGGUAAACGGGCCAAGUCUGAGAGCGAGGAGAGCGACAAAUCCGAGAGCGAGAGCGAACAGGAGUCCGGUAGCGAGGGAGAGGAGUCCGAUGAGCCAAAGUCGAAGCGCGGUCGGCCGGCGGCGGUGGCCAAGGGUCGCAAGGCGACGCCGGCCAAAACAGCCGCCAACGCUAAGGCCACGCCCGCAAAGCGGAAAGCGCCCACUCCACCCGCCAAAAAGAAGCUAGCCGGCAAGCCCGCAGGCCGGCCCGCCAAGAAGGGAGGCAAGAAAGCCUCCUCCUCCGAGGAGUCGGGGGAGGGCAGCGAGGAGGAGGACGAGGAGGGCAGCGAGGAGGAGAGCGGGGAGGAGUCCGACUCUCCCUCUGACAAGAAAGCUAAGCGGCCGCCUACGGACGAUGAAAUCAAAAAGUACGUGAAGGAGAUACUGGAAGGCGCCAACCUGGAGCAGAUCACGAUGAAGACGGUGUGCAAGCAGGUCUACAGCCACUACCCGGACUUCGACCUCGCGCACAAGAAGGACUUCAUCAAGGCAACAGUCAAGUCGUGUAUUUAAGUUAGGAGUUAAGGGCGGAGUGUAGAUGUCUGCAUAGUAUACCUAUAGUUUAUAAAAGGACAUAGUUAUAUAUUAUUACAAUAAUAAUAUAUUAUGAGAAAGUUAAUAAACUGAUUGACGUGGAAUGGAUAUACACCUGCUUUUUUCUUACAAGCUCAUAUCAUCGUGAGCAGUGACCAGUCGGCCGCAAAACAUUCAUAGUCAAGUAAGCCACGCAUCUUAAACUCUAGACUAAUGUACCGGCCUGCGGCGAUCGGCUUCCCCAUACAUCCAUACACUUUAUCAUUUCCACUACACAAUAUGAUAACAUUUUGACAGACUAAUUGACUUGUCUAUUAAGUAUUAAGCUGUGUAUGCACUAAGAGACGUUAACGCGCAAAAUGUUUUAAUAUUUCACUCAUAUCCAUUGGUUGAAAAUUAACAGCACGUCAUGCUUUUCAUUCAUAUAAAUUGUUAUUAAGCGAGAUGUUGCGCGGCAAUGAUCGACUAGUGCAUACUAGGCUUUCAGUUGUCACAAAUAUAACACGCAGUCAUCGUAGUAUUGACAACAAGAAUGUUGUAAAGUCGAUCCGUCGCGGCGCGGGUUGUAAUUUUUAUGUUGUAGGAAUAAUUUCCCUAGUAUAAGUGUAAUCCGAGUUGCAGUAGGGCUUAAGGACAUUUUUUUUUUCACGUGCCUAUAAGAGGGUCUUUAGUGAUAAUCGCAAAUUAAUUUGCUUCGUUGGCCACACGUUCUGCGCGUUGAGUGUCCCAAAAUUGCGUAAUGUUAUUUUUUUAUUAUUCAUUUUAAUAUUUUCUUAUCUAGAGCAGCCGGGACCAGAUUUAUUUAACACUCAAUACGCGGCGCCACAGUCAAUAAGUACACUAAUGUUUUGUUUUUACGCUUCUAAUGGGGGUUUCCUGAACGUCAGUUGUCAAAUACAAUUAAUAAUGUUGUAUUUGUGAUCUAAGGAAAGAAUACAGAAAACCCUCAUUUGUACAAAUUAGAAGUUGGGUAGAUAUCUCGGUAAACUUUUCAAAUAUUGUUAUUCGAGGAAUUUGGAUAGUAAGCUUAUUUUAUCAAUUUAGAAAGUGUUCUUUAACGCCUGGCACUAUCGCAAAAUAAUGCUAUUCGAUUAAGGAUGAUAAGUGUUAAGAUGUGUAAAUAUACCCAGGACUUGCUUAUGGCUAUGUUCGUAUUUUUGUGGGCAGGUUAUUGGGCCUGGCUUGACGAUAUUGUAUCAUAUUUCGAUGCAUCUGAAGUAUAAUAUUGUGAGUGACAAAAAAUAUGUUAAGAUUUCUGCAGGAAUGAUUAAUUCAUGUAAAUAUCUCAAUAUAGAUUUUAUUUGUCACUUACGACAUGAUAUGAUGGAUUUGUUGACGAAUUUCUGAAAUGAUUCAUUAGGUUCGAUAAUACACUUUUUUAUGACAGUAAAAUUGAAGUGUUUUGAUUUCAUCGAUAGUGACGUUAAAUCCUGCAUUUAAUAAAAAAGUAUUAUUUAUUUUUAUUAUUUGUAUGUUCAUAUUACCAGUUUGGUAUGAAAUAUUUUGAAAAAUCUAUGGUACGGUAUCGCCAAACACGAUAGAGCGCCAUUAGUCGAAUCGAAAUCCGGAAGGUAUAUUUAUCUUCCAUAUAUUUUUAUAUUUUGGAAUAAAAUAUUAUUUUUUUGGGCAAGUGGAUACGGCAAUGUUUCUAUAUCAAAAUUGAUUUAUUAUCGACUAAAUUGUCCAUAUAUUCUUAUUUCUCUAUAAUAAAUUUGGUUUAAGCAUUUUCUGUCAUAAAGUUUAUUUAGAAUUAUGAGAUUUAUGUUAUCUUACCCAUAAUAUGGUUGUUUUUAGACUUAUAAGUAUUUAAUUCUUGAAAAAUAAUUAAAUUCAAGUUAAUGUAAUUAAUAAACGUUUGCCGUUUUCACUGCUGACUAAAUUGUAAAAAAAUAUUAAUUUGUAAUAUUCCUAGACCCACUGUUUACAAAAUCAGGAUUAUCACAGGUAAAUACUUACUGAUAGUGCAAUAAGAUAUUUUUACAAUAGGAAACUUGUAAUCAAACAAUAAUCUCUAACCAUAUCAAUAUUUUGUGGUCGUCUGACGUAGUUUCGUGUACACGUUUUUAUUGCAAAUACAGUAGUUGUUGUCUACAUCUGUUUAAUUUACUUUAAGGUGCUUCACAGCAUUUGUUUUGUAUCUUGUGGCCGAAAUAGUCGCUAAGUCUAUGGUUGAGCUAACACUAUAGGUUACUGGGUUUGUGUGCGGCGAGACAUUGCAACGCGCGCGACAUUAGAGAUGCCCUCUGUCUAUAUUCGAUUAUCUCUAAUCGACUGACGCGUUGUCGACAUCCCUAUUCAUCGAUAUUGAAUGGGCCUGUCCAAACGUUCCUUUUAAUUACGUCGACGAUAAAAUCUCUCGGCGCAACCAAACCCCUAAUUUUAAGCUAGGAUUAAUCAACAUUAAAUGUGUAUUUGUGAAUUUUAACCUAUUUCGGUUGACGUUUUUCUUUAUAAAUGUGUAAAUGGUUGAGAUCAGUAGCAGAGUAGUGACACGGAGUGAUAGAGUGACUGGUAACCCCCCUUUUACAAUUGGAUAUAGAUAAUAAAUAAAUAAAAGUUUGA